AUACGGAGGGGGCUAGCGUUGUUCGGAUUUACUGGGCGUAAAGCGCACGUAGGCGGAUUGUUAAGUCGGGGGUGAAAGCCCGGGGCUCAACCCCGGAACUGCCUUCGAUACUGGCAAUCUUGAGGUCGGGAGAGGUGAGUGGAAUUCCUAGUGUAGAGGUGAAAUUCGUAGAUAUUAGGAGGAACACCAGUAGCGAAGGCGGCUCACUGGCCCGAUUCUGACGCUGAGGUGCGAAAGCGUGGGGAGCAAACAGGAUUAGAAACCCCAGUAGUCC
rnacentral:rRNA from 1 species